ACGGAAGGCAGCAGUGGGGGAUAUUGCACAAUGGGGGAAACCCUGAUGCAGCGACGCCGCGUGAGCGAAGAAGUAUUUCGGUAUGUAAAGCUCUAUCAGCAGGGAAGAAAAUGACGGUACCUGACUAAGAAGCUCCGGCUAAAUACGUGCCAGCAGCCGCGGUAAUACGUAUGGAGCAAGCGUUAUCCGGAUUUACUGGGUGUAAAGGGAGCGUAGACGGUUUGCCAAGUCUGAUGUGAAAGGUGGGGGCUCAACCCCCAAACUGCAUUGGAAACUGGUAGACUAGAGUGUCGGAGAGGUAAGUGGAAUUCCUAGUGUAGCGGUGAAAUGCGUAGAUAUUAGGAGGAACACCAGUGGCGAAGGCGGCUUACCGGACGAUAACUGACGUUGAGGCUCGAAAGCGUGGGGAGCAAACAGGAUUAGAUACCCUGGUA
rnacentral:rRNA from 1 species